GGAAGGGUCGCAUAGUUGGCCUAGUGCGCGCGACUGGAAAUCGCGUAGGCGGUAAAACGCCUCGAGGGUUCGAAUCCCUCCCCUUCCGCCA
rnacentral:tRNA from 1 species